GGUCGUGUGGAAAGAGCAUCCGUACGGAGCAGCGCUGGAUGACCCCGGUGGAGUUUUUGACGGGGGGGUCAAAUCUGGAAGAUCCCUCCUGGAAGAAAGACAUCCAGUGGGACGGGAAACCACUCAGCGUCCUCAUCGAGGUACAGACGGAAAGAGAACACAGAGAGAGAGAAAGAAAGAUGAGAGAGAAAAAAAUGUGUGUUUGGCACUUACCAACCUAUUGUACAAGGAAUGGCUUAAGAUAGUCUGCAAGGUCUUGAAGGACCUGUGGUGAAAACAUUUGCUGUCUUCAAAGACGUUUUACUAGUACUACUACUGUCUUUGUUUGUUUCUCAUUUCCAGAGUAAGAUCUUGGUCAUCCACUCUCUCCUGUGUAAGUGCAAGCUGUGCAGCUCCACGGCCAAAGACAGGCAUGAUCAGGAUAACGAUGACGACUGCUUCAUCUGUAGAAGCCAGGGCAGCUUGAUAUGCUGUGAUGAGUGUCCUCGCUCCUUCCAUCAGAGAUGUCAUCUUCCUAAUGUGGAUGAUGCUAUCCUGGGGGAUGAUUGUCCGUGGAUGUGUACAUUCUGUGUACUGAGGGCCAGUCAGUCGUGGCGCUACCCCAAACAAAUGACCUACCAGGAAGCCUUAACCUGCCGAAUCUCAGACCACCAACUGGAAUGCCAGUACCUCCUGCUGUGUCUGUACCAUGCGGACGAGGAACACAUCGCUGUGGCAGAUCCUUGCAUCAAUGUGAGAAACUACACCAGUGAGAUAAAGACCCCUAUAUGGCUGGACAGGGUUGUGGAGAAGCUGCAGCAGAAUCUCUACCAGUCGGUGCAACAAUUUGUGUCUGAUGUGUUGCUUAUCUUCACCAACUGUGCCACAUUUAACAGGGACAAUGCAGAGUUCCGUGUGAUGGGCGAAAGAUUGAAGGAUCUAUUUGAGAGAGAGUUCAAGAGUACAUUCAGCAUCCAACUUCAGCAUCCAACUGCAUCCAACAGCCAGUAG
rnacentral:lncRNA from 1 species